rnacentral:tRNA from 1 species
GGGCCAGUGGCCUAGGUGGUCAAGGCGCCCGGCUGAUAACCGGGAGAUCGCUGGUUCGAGUCCGGCCUGGCCCA